UACGAAGGGGCUAGCGUUGUUCGGAAUUACUGGGCGUAAAGGGCGCGUAGGCGGUGUGUCAAGUCAGGCGUGAAAGCCCGGGCUCAACCUGGGAACCGCGCUUGAGACUGGCACGCUAGAGUUCGGGAGAGGAUGGUGGAAUUCCCGAGUGAUAGAGGUGAAAUUCGUAGAUAUUGGGAAGAACACCGAUGGCGAAGGCAGCCAUCUGGACCGACACUGACGCUGAGGCGCGAAAGCGUGGGGAGCAAACAGGG
rnacentral:rRNA from 1 species